GACGAACGCUGGCGGCGUGCUUAACACAUGCAAGUCGAACGGAAAGGCCCUGCUUUUGUGGGGUUCUCGAUUGGCGAACGGGUGAGUAACACGUGAGUAACCUGCCCUUGUCUUUGGGAUAACUUCAGGAAACUGGGGCUACUAUAGGAUAGGAUCUCCUGUAGCAUGGUGGGGGGUGGAAAGUCUGGGCGGUUGGGGAUGGACUCGCGGCUUACCAGCUUGUUGGUGGGGUAGUGGCUGACCAAGGCUUUGACGGGUAGGCCGCCUGAGAGGGUGACAGGCCACAUAGGGACUGAGGUACGGCCCAGACUGCUACGGGAGGAAAAAGGGGGGAAUAUUGCACAAUGGGCGGCAGCCUGAUGAAGAAGCCCUGCGUGCGGGAAAGCGGCUUUCGGGUGAUAAACAGGUUUCGCCUGUAACGAACCCUGAUCGACGGUAAUGGAUAAAAAAGCACCGGCUAACUACGUG
rnacentral:rRNA from 1 species